CGCCGAGCGGGAGGAGGGGCGAGUGAGCGAACACGCAGCCCGCGGGGCAGGGUCCAGGCGUUCCUGUCACUUUCCCUGGAAAGCGAGGUCCUGGACGUCGAGAGCCCGUCCUGCCCCCCGCCAGGGCCCCGCCGCCCGCUGUGUUUCCCCGCACCGCACCGGCAGUUCACGAGAGAUUAGAAUCCAAGCCAUAUUUUCCCUAGUACCUCCGACUGUCUCCCACCAGGGAAAGCAGAAAUCAGCGGCCGAGGUCCUGCUCGCGGCUGGGGACGCAGAGGAAGAUGCUGAUGGAGGAGGCCAGGCCAGCAGCCAAGUGGGGACAGUGGGGACAGCCCGGUCUCGGAAACUGGAGUCUGAGGCUGUUUGCAACCCCAGGCACCGGGCCGUGAGCGCGAAGGAGCGAGCACCCUCUCCUCGGCCCUCUUCCCGAUCCCUUUUCCUCUUCCGCCGGGUUUUCCGUCCUUAGCUCCCCCUCCCUCUCCCUCUGUGUGCGUGGGGUGCCCCCCCCCCCGGCUACCCCUGGCAGAAGCACGGCUAUUGUAAAUGUGUAAACUAAGAGGAGGGUUGGGGUUUUUUUCAAUGUAAACACUAAAAACAAACACAGAAAACACAAAUGUUUUAUGAACAGCAAACUCUAUGUAAAGGCAUUUUAGUAUUAAAUUUUUUAUUGAUAACUUGCUUAAGAAUAAAUAUAUGAACUAUUGUACAGGUGUUCAGUGGUCCAGAACCCUAA